GUGCUCUUUAAUGCAGCAUAUACACUAAAAUUGGAAUGAUUCAGGGGAAAUUGGCAUGGUUCUUAUGUAAUGAUGACGUGCUAAUCCAUGAAGCAGUCCAUAUAUAA